rnacentral:rRNA from 1 species
CCUACGGGUGGCUGCAGUGGGGAAUAUUGGACAAUGGGGGGAACCCUGAUCCAGCCAUGCCGCGUGUGUGAAGAAGGCCCUCGGGUUGUAAAGCACUUUCAGUGAGGAAGAACGCCUGGUGGUUAAUACCCAUCAGGAAAGACAUCACUCACAGAAGAAGCACCGGCUAACUCCGUGCCAGCAGCCGCGGUAAUACGGAGGGUGCGAGCGUUAAUCGGAAUUACUGGGCGUAAAGCGCGCGUAGGUGGCUUGAUAAGCCGGUUGUGAAAGCCCCGGGCUCAACCUGGGAACGGCAUCCGGAACUGUCAAGCUAGAGUGCAGGAGAGGAAGGUAGAAUUCCCGGUGUAGCGGUGAAAUGCGUAGAGAUCGGGAGGAAUACCGGUGGCGAAGGCGGCCUUCUGGACUGACACUGACACUGAGGUGCGAAAGCGUGGGUAGCAAACAGGAUUAGAUACCCGUGUAGUC